rnacentral:rRNA from 1 species
ACUCAAAGGAAUUGACGGGGGCCCGCACAAGCAGUGGAGUAUGUGGUUUAAUUCGAAGCAACGCGAAGAACCUUACCAGGGCUUGACAUCCUACUAACGAAGUAGAGAUACAUUAGGUGCCUUUUAGGAAAGUAGAGACAGGUGGUGCAUGGUUGUCGUCAGCUCGUGUCGUGAGAUGUUGGGUUAAGUCCCGCAACGAGCGCAACCCCUAUGGUUAGUUGCUACGUUAAGAGCACUCUAGCCAGACUGCCGUUGACAAAACGGAGGAAGGUGGGGACGACGUCAAAUCAUCAUGCCCUUUAUGUCCUGGGCUACACACGUACUACAAUGGCGGUCAUACAACGGGAGGCGAAACAGCGAUGUGGAGCAAAUCCCCAAAAGCCGUCUCAGUUCAGAUUGCAGGCUGCAACUCGCCUGUAUGAAGUCGGAAUUGCUAGUAAUCGCGAAUCAGCAUGUCGCGGUGAAUACGUUCCCGGGCCUUGUACACACCGCCCGU